rnacentral:rRNA from 1 species
UACGUAGGGGGCUAGCGUUGUCCGGAAUCAUUGGGCGUAAAGCGCGCGUAGGCGGCCCGGUAAGUCCGCUGUGAAAGUCAAAGGCUCAACCUUUGAAUGUCAGCGGAUACUGCCGGGCUAGAGUCCGGAAGAGGCGAGUGGAACUCCUGGUGUAGCGGUGAAAUGCGCAGAUAUCGGGAGGAACACCAAUUGCGAAGGCAGCUCGCUGGGACGUUACUGACGCUGAGACGCGAAAGCGUGGGGAGCAAACAGG